CAUGGGGAGCAACCUAGUUGUGCGUGUGUAAAGGUAGUGCCAAGAAAAGCGAUGAUCAUGUUGAAAAUCAAUUCCCGGUACCCGAAACCGACACAGGUGGGCAAGUAGAGAAUACUAAGGGGCGCGAGGUAACUCUCUCCAAGGAACUCGGCAAAAUGACCCCGUAACUUAGGGAGAAGGGGUGCCACCGAGAGGUGGUCGCAGUGAAGAGGCCCAGGCGACUGUUUAGCAAAAACAUAGGUCUCUGCAAACUCGAAAGAGGAGGUAUAGGGGCUGACGCCUGCCCAGUGCCGGAAGGUUAAAGAAGUUGGUCAGUUUUAGGAUGAAGCUAGCGACUGAAGCCCCGGUGAACGGCGGCCGUAACUAUAACGGUCCUAAGGUAGCGAAAUUCCUUGUCGGGUAAGUUCCGACCCGCACGAAAGGCGUAACGAUCUGGGCGCUGUCUCGGAGAGAGGCUCGGCGAAAUAGGAUUGUCUGUGAAGAUACGGACUACCUGCAUUUGGACAGAAAGACCCUAUGAAGCUUUACUAUAGCUUGGAAUUGUGUUCGGGCUUCCUGUGCGCAGGAUAGGUGGGAGGCGUAGAAGGUAUUCUUGUGGGGAUACUGGAGCCAACGGUGAGAUACCACUCUCAGGAGGCUAGAAUUCUAACUUAAUUAAGGACAGUUUCAGGUGGGUAGUUUGACUGGGGCGGUCGCCUCCAAAAAGGUAACGGAGGCGUACAAAGGUUCCCUCAGACUGGUUGGAAAUCAGUCGAAGAGUGCAAAGGCAGAAGGGAGCUUGACUGCGAGAAGUACAGUUCGAGCAGGGUGGAAACACGGUCUUAGUGAUCCGAGGUGCUGUGUGGAAGGGCCGUCGCUCAACGGAUAAAAGUUACUCUAGGAUAACAGGCUGAUCUCCCCCAAGAGUUCACAUCGACGGGGAGGUUUGGCACCUCGAUGUCGGCUCAUCGCAACCUGGGGCGGAAGUACGUCCCAAGGGUUGGGCUGUUCGCCCAUUAAAGCGGUACGUGAGCUGGGUUCAGAACGUCGUGAGACAGUUCGGUCCAUAUCCGAUGUAGGCGUGAGAAUAUUGAGAGGAGCCUUCCUUAGUACGAGAGGACCGGGAAGGACGCACCGCUGGUGUACCUGUUAUGAUGCCAAUUGUAAACGCAGGGUAGCCAAGUGCGGAGAGGAUAACCGCUGAAAGCAUCUAAGUGGGAAGCCCACCUCAAGAUGAGUAUUCUGGUGUAAGGUCACGGGAAGACGACCCGUAAAUAGGCACGAGGUGGAAGUGCAGAGAUGUAUGAAGCCGAAGUGUACUAAUAGACCGUCGGCUUGACC
rnacentral:rRNA from 1 species